GCUGGGUUACGUGGCAGGAGUAAGCUUGCUGCUUCGCUGACGAGUGGCGGACGGGUGAGUAAUGUCUGGGAAACUGCCUGAUGGAGGGGGAUAACUACUGGAAACGGUGGCUAAUACCGCAUAACGUCGCAAGACCAAAGAGGGGGACCUUCGGGCCUCUUGCCAUCAGAUGUGCCCAGAUGGGAUUAGCUUGUUGGUGAGGUAACGGCUCACCAAGGCGACGAUCCCUAGCUGGUCUGAGAGGAUGACCAGCCACACUGGAACUGAGACACGGUCCAGACCCCUACGGGAGGCAGCAGUGGGGAAUAUUGCACAAUGGGCGCAGCCUGAUGCAGCCAUGCCGCGUGUAUGAAGAAGGCCUUCGGGUUAAAGUACUUUCAGCGGGGAGGAAGGUGUUGUGGUUAAUAACCGCAGCAAUUGACGUUACCCGCAGAAGAAGCACCGGCUAACUCCGUGCCAGCAGCCGCGGUAAUACGGAGGGUGCAAGCGUUAAUCGGAAUUACUGGGCGUAAAGCGCACGCCAGCGGUCUGUCAAGUCGGAUGUGAAAUCCCCGGGCUCAACCUGGGAACUGCAUUCGAAACUGGCAGGUUUGUCUGAAAGGAGGUAACAUUCAGGGUUACCGUAAAUGCUAAAGUCUGGGAGG
rnacentral:rRNA from 1 species